GACGAACGCUGGCGGCGUGCUUAACACAUGCCAGUCGAACGGAAAGGCCCUGCUUUUGUUGGGUGCUCGAGUGGCGAACGGGUGAGUAACACGUGAGUAACCUGCCCUUGACUUUGGGAUAACUUCAGGAAACUGGGGCUAAUACCGGAUAGGAUCUCCUGCUGCAUGGUGGGGGUUGGAAAGUUUCGGCGGUUGGGGAUGGACUCGCGGCUUAUCAGCUUGUUGGUGAGGUAGUGGCUUACCAAGGCUUUGACGGGUAGCCGGCCUGGGAGGGGGACCGGCCACAUUGGGACUGAGAUACGGCCCAGACUCCUACGGGAGGCAGCAGUGGGGAAUAUUGCACAAUGGGCGGAAGCCUGAUGCAGCAACGCCGGGUGCGGGAUGACGGCCUUCGGGUUGUAAACCGCUUUCGCCUGUGACGAAGCGUGAGUGACGGUAAUGGGUAAAGAAGCAACGGCUAACUACGUG
rnacentral:rRNA from 1 species